rnacentral:rRNA from 1 species
AUUGAACGCUGGCGGCAGGCCUAACACAUGCAAGUCGAGCGGAUGAAGGGAGCUUGCUCCUGGAUUCAGCGGCGGACGGGUGAGUAAUGCCUAGGAAUCUGCCUGGUAGUGGGGGAUAACGUCCGGAAACGGGCGCUAAUACCGCAUACGUCCUGAGGGAGAAAGUGGGGGAUCUUCGGACCUCACGCCAUCAGAUGAGCCUAGGUCGGAUUAGCUAGUUGGUGGGGUAAAGGCCUACCAAGGCGACGAUCCGUAACUGGUCUGAGAGGAUGAUCAGUCACACUGAAACUGAGACACGGUCCAGACUCCUACAGGAGGCAGCAGUGUGGAAUAUUGGACAAUGGGCGAAAGCCUGAUCCAGCCAUGCCGCGUGUGUGAAGAAGGUCUUCGGAUUGUAAAGCACUUUAAGUUGGGAGAAAGGGCAGUAAGUUAAUACCUUGCUGUUUUGACGUUACCAACAGAAUAAGCACCGGCUAACUUCGUG